UACGUAGGGUGCAAGCGUUAAUCGGAAUUACUGGGCGUAAAGCGUGCGCAGGCGGUUUUGUAAGUCUGUCGUGAAAUCCCCGGGCUCAACCUGGGGAAUGGCAUUGGUGACUGCACGGCUAGAGUGUGUCAGAGGGGGGUAGAAUUCCACGUGUAGCAGUGAAAUGCGUAGAGAUGUGGAGGAAUACCGAUGGCGAAGGCAGCCCCCCUGGGAUAACACGUGACGCUCAUGCACGAAAGCGUGGGAGCAAACAGG
rnacentral:rRNA from 1 species